rnacentral:precursor_RNA from 11 species
AUGUCUAAGGAGUCAAUAUGAACAAUGAUCGCCAUAUUUUUACCGCUACUGCAUUUCAUUGUAAUAAUUGUAGUACGGAAAAGAUAUGGGGAUUGGGGUUCAUAAUUUCUACUGAGUCUUUG